rnacentral:rRNA from 1 species
GAUGAGCGCUGGCGGCGCGCCUAACACAUGCAAGUCGAACGAUUAAAGCACCUUCGGGUGUGUAUAAAGUGGCGAACGGCUGAGUAACACGUGGGCAACCUGCCCCUCUCAUUGGGAUAGCCACGGGAAACCGUGGAUAAUACCGAAUACUUCGGGACUUCCGCAUGGAAGACUCGAGAAAGCUCCGGCGGGGAGGGAUGGGCCCGCGGCCUGUUAGCUUGUUGGUGGGGUAAUGGCCUACCAAGGCAAUGAUGGGUAGCUGGGUUGAGAGACCGACCAGCCAGAUUGGGACUGAGACACGGCCCAGACUCCUACGGGAGGCAGCAGUGGGGAAUCUUGCACAAUGGGCGAAAGCCUGAUGCAGCGACGCCGCGUGCGGGAUGAAGGCCUUCGGGUUGUAAACCGCUUUCAGCAGGGACGAGGCGAAAGUGACGGUACCUGCAGAAGAAGCCCCGGCUAACUACGUG